GACGAACGCUGGCGGCGUGCUUAACACAUGCAAGUCGAACGGAAAGGCCCUGCUUUUGUGGGGUGCUCGAGUGGCGAACGGGUGAGCAACACGUGAGUAACCUGCCCUUGACUUUGGGAUAACUUCAGGAAACUGGGGCUAAUACCGGAUAGGAGCUCCUGCUGCAUGGUGGGGGUUGGAAAGUUUCGGCGGUUGGGGAUGGACUCGCGGCUUAUCAGCUUGUUGGUGGGGUAGUGGCUUACCAAGGCUUUGACGGGUAGCCGGCCUGAGAGGGUGACCGGCCACAUUGGGACUGAGAUACGGCCCAGACUCCUACGGGAGGCAGCAGUGGGGAAUAUUGCACAAUGGGCGGAAGCCUGAUACAGCAACGCCGCGUGCGGGAUGACGGCCUUCGGGUUGUAAACCGCUUUCGCCUGUGACGAAGCGUGAGUGACGGUAAUGGGUAAAGAAGCACCGGCUAACUACGUG
rnacentral:rRNA from 1 species